CCUACGGGAGGCAGCAGUGAGGAAUAUUGGUCAAUGGACGAGAGUCUGAACCAGCCAAGUAGCGUGAAGGAUGACUGCCCUAUGGGUUGUAAACUGCUUUUAUAAGGGAAUAAAACGAGGCACGUGUGCCUGUUUGCAUGUACCGUACGAAUAAGGAUCGGCUAACUCCGUGCCAGCAGCCGCGGUAAUACGGAGGAUCCGAGCGUUAUCCGGAUUUAUUGGGUUUAAAGGGUGCGUAGACGGGUUGUUAAGUUAGUGGUGAAAGUUUGGGGCUCAACCCUGAAAUUGCCAUUGAUACUGGAGGACUUGAGAGCAGUUGCGGUAGGCGGAAUGUGUGGUGUAGCGGUGAAAUGCUUAGAGAUCACACAGAACCCCGAUUGCGAAGGCAGCUUACUAAACUGUGACUGACAUUGAUGCUCGAAAGUGUGGGUAGCAAACAGGAUUAGAUACCCCUGUAGUC
rnacentral:rRNA from 1 species